UACGUAGGGUGCGAGCGUUAUCCGGAAUGAUUGGGCGUAAAGCGUCCGCAGGUGGCAGUUCAAGUCUGCUGUCAAAGACCGGGGCUUAACUUCGGAAAGGCAGUGGAAACUGAACAGCUAGAGUAUGGUAGGGGCAGAGGGAAUUCCUGGUGUAGCGGUGAAAUGCGUAGAGAUCAGGAAGAACAUCGGUGGCGAAGGCGCUCUGCUGGACCAUAACUGACACUCAGGGACGAAAGCUAGGGGAGCGAAUGGG
rnacentral:rRNA from 1 species